rnacentral:rRNA from 1 species
GACGAACGCUGGCGGCGUGCCUAAUACAUGCAAGUUGAGCGCUGAAGGUUGGUACUUGUACCAACUGGAUGAGCAGCGAACGGGUGAGUAACGCGUGGGGAAUCUGCCUUUGAGCGGGGGACAACAUUUGGAAACGAAUGCUAAUACCGCAUAAAAACUUUAAACACAAGUUUUAAGUUUGAAGGAUGCAAUUGCAUCACUCAAAGAUGAUCCCGCGUUGUAUUAGCUAGUUGGUGAGGUAAAGGCUCACCAAGGCGAUGAUACAUAGCCGACCUGAGAGGGUGGUCGGCCACAUUGGGACUGAGACACGGCCCAAACUCCUACGGGAGGCAGCAGUAGGGAAUCUUCGGCAAGGGACGAAAGUCUGACCGAGCAACGCCGCGUGAGUGAAGAAGGUUGUCGGAUCGUAAAACUCUGUUGGUAGAGAAGAACGUUGGUGAGAGUGGAAAGCUCAUCAAGUGACGGUAACUACCCAGAAAGGGACGGCUAACUACGUG